AACAUAUAUCUUAAAAUGUAAAAAAUGAAUAUAUGUAAAUAUUAUUAAUGUAUAUUUAUUAUACAUAAAAUGAAAUUUUAUUUUCCAUUAAAAUGUAAUAAUGCCACGUUGAUUAUGUAUGAUAAAAUGUAUAUUUAUUAUGAUGUUAAAAUGUAAAAAAAUUAAAAAUAGAAAUAUUACAUUAAACAUAUAUCUGAAAUAAUGUAUAGUUUUACAUUUUAAUUAUUUUCAAAUAUUUUUAAGAAAUGGUAACAUUACAAUAUUAGUAAAUAUUACAUUAAACAUAUAUAUGAAUAAAUGUAUAAUUUUAUGUUUUAAUUAUUUCCAAAUAUUACAUCUAUCUGAAAAAAGAAAAAAAAAUGUGUAAUUUUACAUUAUUAUUAUUUCUAAAUAUUUAUCUCGCUCUGAGACACAUCGCUAUAAAACUCAUUAUCCCACCAACAUCAACCUCACACGCAUCAAAAAAGAUUCCAAAGAAGACUCCACAAAAAAAAAACAAUGGCUCCACCAUCGACCCUUGCCGUCCCAAAAACGUUCGACGACAUAUGUCGAUAUAUGAUGUUACUUCUAUGAACUAAAUCAGAUCAGCAAGGCAAUAUUUGGAGCAGACUAACAGUUCUCAGGAGGAAAAUCUUAAAUUCAUAUAUGAUGAGUACAAAGCUUUGGAGAAAAAUUGGAAGGUACUGGCUUGGAAAUUCACUCAGCUCAACUCUGCUAUGGGGGAUGCACUCUCUCAGCUAAAAACAACAGAUACCCCCAAUAGUGCAGCUUUAAGGACCGACAAAGUUGAGGUACAACCUAAAUAACAUCAAUGAAUAUAUUUGCACACGUUAUUUAAAAUGAGUUUUUCAUUUAGCAAACUCUUAUAAUCAGUAGUCACACUUGAAUGAUUCAUGGUUCCAUCGGGUCUUAUAUGUGACAUAAUUGCAAUAACAUUUGCAUUGUCUUGAACAUUUUGUUGCAAUUGAAUCUGAUCUAAUGUACAUUUGAACUGAUAAAAGAACUUGAUUGUUGCAGCUA